UACAAAGGGGGCUAGCGUUGCUCGGAAUCACUGGGCGUAAAGCGCACGUAGGCGGAUUGCUAAGUCAGGGGUGAAAUCCUGGAGCUCAACUCCAGAACUGCCUUUGAUACUGGCGACCUUGAGUCCGGGAGAGGUGAGUGGAACUGCGAGUGUAGAGGUGAAAUUCGUAGAUAUUCGCAAGAACACCAGUGGCGAAGGCGGCUCACUGGCCCGGUACUGACGCUGAGGUGCGAAAGCGUGGGGAGCAAACAGG
rnacentral:rRNA from 1 species